rnacentral:sRNA from 1 species
AUGUACCACGCGUACCCUGCCCACCCCCGCCUGACGGCUGCUCGCUACGUUCUGUUAGCC